CCGGCGACCGGCGCACGGGUGAGUAACACGUAUGCAACCUGGCCGUGACAGAUGGAUAACCGGGAGAAAUCCCGCCUAAUACAACAUAAUGCCGGGAGGGGACAUCCCCUGCCGGUCAAAGGGGGCGACCCCGGUCAUGGAUGGGCAUGCGGCGCAUUAGGUAGUUGGUGGGGCAACGGCCCACCAAGCCGACGAUGCGUAGGGGUUCUGAGAGGAAGGUCCCCCACAUUGGAACUGAGACACGGUCCAAACUCCUACGGAAGGCAGCAG
rnacentral:rRNA from 1 species